UUGUUAUCAUAGCUCAAAGAACAAGAUGUUUUCUUAAGCUAUAUGAACAUUAUACAAUCAAAAUAAAAUCAAUUACUGUGCAUUCAUUUAUUUCUGUUUUUACCACUUUUCGUUGAAAUUAUACUUCAUUGAACGCUUGAAUAUGUGAUGUACGAGGUUAACUUCCACUCACAAAAUCCACAACAAUUUGUAUCCUACGAAUAAUAGUGAAUCCACAAUAUGUUGCGUUAUAUUUUUUCGAAUCAUUCCUAAUUUUAUUCUGUCGAUCUGAUCCUUCAUAGUCAUCUUGCUUCUGCAGAUAAACCAAUAGAACAAUUCCUGAUAAUAUUCUGCUUUGUCUAUUCUCCAAAGUAAUCU
rnacentral:lncRNA from 1 species